GGCAAACCCUAGUCGUGAGGCUCAGGGUUCGCCGGCGCGGCCGCGGCCGCGUCCCCUUCCCCGCAUCUUCGGCUGCUCCCCUCGUCAACGACCCCGCUCCGUCCUCCGAUUCCAUGGCUCCUCCAGCCCGACGCCUACGACCACGUCCAGGUUCUCCGCGUCGACCACGUCCUGCUCUGCCUCCGGAUCCCCUCCGUCGAGCACCUCCUGCUCCGUAGAUUGAUCCAGGGCCGGCAUCGGCAUCAUCGGCCGCUUCCUGCUCUGCCUCCGGAUCCCCUCCGUCGAGCACCUCCUGCUCCGUCGCCAGCGCCCCUCCGCCGCCAAGGCCCAACACUGACAGCGGCCGAUGCAUGCCCAGAAGUCCUAGGUUGGGAUCGGAGGUGGUCAACUGAAAUUGAACCGGCGUCCUGCUGGGGGCUACCACAACGCCUGCGAACUGGCAUCUAGCCCCUUGCGAUUUUGCGUCAGGUUGCAGUUUGGGUAAUUCCCAUGGAGAUACCAAUAGUCAAUUCCAAAACAUAGAUUGCCAUGUAUUUUAAUAUGGUUUAUAACCCAUGGAGCUGUGCUGAAUUAUCUCAUUACAAAGGCAUUACUAAGGGGAUCUUGGAAGUCAAGGAUUGAAAGGUUUCAUUACUGAUGAAACAAGUCAUCUGACAGACUUGGUAUGCUUAGAGCUAGAUGGUGUGCAAUGGUAGAAGAACCCUCCUGCUUAAGCGAAGCCACUGUCAUCGAAUAUUCAGUUUUGAGCUUCAUAGGUUGAGUCGGUACUACUCUGAUUGCUAAGAGAGUGUUAUAGGUCACUACAAUGGUUUCUUAUUUGAAUUCAGUAUGAUGUUUUCUUAUUAGAGGCCAGAACAAUGUUGAUUGACAGAUAGUGACAACAAAGCAGUCGCAAAUUUUUCCAAGUGUUCCAAGUGAAUCUUUUGGAACAUAAGCUCGUUGGUUUACAUAUGUAGAAAUUACUAAUAUGGCACCUCAUGUUCCCUUCACAUGCCUGGUGCGUCAUCUGUUUUUGAGGCCUCUGACACUAUCAUGGCUUACUAAUGUGGGCAUUUUCGUGAUGGUGCUUAACUACUCAUGUAUUGGUUUCCAAGUAAUUUUCAUGAUGGUGCUUAAAUACUCAUGCACCGAUGCACAUGCCUACUGUCUGUACUGUACACUAUCUUGAUCAUUCCAUCUACAGUAGCUUGAUCAUGCUAUUCUAUGAACUUUCUCUGAAUUUAUAUACAUAUUCACUAUGGAUACUGAGAUUCAGAGACCAUUUAGCACAUGACAGUAGAGAUGAUUUUUUUUCCAUCAACAUUUCCUGCUCCUUCAUUGAGUACCUCCAUUUUUUUGGCUUUUUGGUAAUAUCGAUUCAGAGAACAUGAUUUACUCAUGCUAGUAGUAUUCUGGAACUUGUCUACUAAAUAAAUUCAGAGAAAGGAAAGCAAAACAAUCUGGAACUUGUCUACUGAAUAAAUUCAGAUGAAAUUCAGAGAAACUACAGUAGAUAAAUUUGGAUUGUACCUUCAUUUUGAUCUUCUUCAUGUAUGAUGCCAUCAGGUGGACUGAACUGUAUAUAAACAUGAAGUUCAUGCAACAUUAUUUUUAUUAAGUGGCUUGUACUGGUAUACAAAGAGCAAUAAAGAUAGCAUGAGUGCGCAUUACAUUCUAUUGUACUGUCUUUAUGCCUUCAUUCCUAGCAUAUUUAUUUGACUCAAAAUGCAUUAGCUUCUUCUUGUUGCAUCUUGGUAUGUGAGUAUGUGACAUUGUGACUGUUUUCUUUUUUCUACAGUCAUAUCUCUAUCAGAUACUCCGCGGCGUUGCUUACUGUCAUUCUCAUAGAGUUCUUCAUCGAGAUUUGAAACCUCAGAAUUUAUUGGUAGAUCGGCGUACUAACGCACUGAAGCUUGCAGACUUUGGUUUAGCCAGGGCUUUUGGAAUCCCUGUUCGUACAUUUACUUAAGAGGCAUGUCUAUGGGAAGUAUUUUUCAGGUAGUAACAUUAUGGUACAGAGCUCCAGAAAUUCUUCUUGGAGCGAGGCAAUAUUCCACACCAGUUGAUGUGUAAACAGUGGGCUGUAUCUUUGCAGAAAUGGUGAAGCAGAAGCCACUGUUUCCAGGCGAUUCUGAGAUUGAUGAAUUAUUUAACAUAUUCAGGUCUGUACUUCUAAAAUGAUAUCGAGUGACCGAGGUUGAUUUCGAAGAUUAUGUCUCUAGGCCCAGAUAAAAUGAGCAUGUUAUGUGAUUGUCUGGAUAUGUUUGAUUGAAGAUUUUGUAAGUUAGAUUGUCUGGAUAUGUCAUUGUGUCUUGUAACGAUGAGAUCAUGUUGAGAUUUGCCUUUAGAGUGUACUGUUGGAUAUGUUGGUUGCAGACCAUGUUCAGAUUUGCCUUUAUAGUGUACUAUUGCAUAUGUUGGAUUUGCAGAACAUGUUCAGAUUUGCCUUUAUUUGUGCUGCUGGAAAAUGUUGCUUGCAGAACA